rnacentral:tRNA from 1 species
UGGCUCAAUGGUGGAGUGCUUGCCUUGCAUGCAUGAGGUCCUAGGUUCGAUUCCUUA